AUGCCGUCCUUGACCAAUCUCAUCAUACUAGUACCACUUCUCUUCCUUGCCACCCUCUCUCCUACACCUUCACUGUGCUAUAUCAGUCCAGCUGCCACAAGGGUACAACAGGGUUCUACAGGAACCUCUGAUUACCGCACUUACAUCGUGCUCGUCGAUCCACCUCCCUCAAGUGCCGGCGAAGUCGGGCAUCGUCGGUGGUAUGAGACUUUCUUACCGAGCUCUCACAUCGGCGAAUCUGGAGAGCCGCGUCUCCUCCACACCUACACCGAAGUGUUCAGCGGCUUCACGGCGAGGCUCACUGAUGCCGAGCUCGACGAGAUGGCCAAGAAGCCAGGGUUCGUGCGCGCGUUCCCAGACCGGAUGCUGCAACUCAUGACCACGCACACGCCGGAGUUCCUCGGGCUGAGGAGUGGCACCGGGUUUUGGAGCGACACACGCUACGGGAAGGGAGUGAUCGUCGGGCUCCUCGACUCCGGAAUCUAUGCAGCACACCCUUCGUUCGACGAUCAUGGCAUCCCACCACCCCCGACAAAGUGGAAAGGCUCGUGCAGGGAGGUCAGGUGCAACAACAAGCUCAUCGGUGCCAAAUCAUUCAUUGCCGGUGAUGACCGCCCAUUUGAUUUUGCGGGGCACGGAACACACACCUCAUCCACUGCCGCUGGGAACUUUGUUACCAAUGCGUCCUACCAUGGCGUAGGCAUGGGCACUGCUUCCGGAAUUGCUCCAGGUGCCCACAUCGCCAUGUACAAAGUGUGCACUGGGAUUGGCUGUGAAGAAUCUGCCAUAGUGGCUGGCCUGGACGCGGCCAUCAAGGAUGGGGUGGACGUGCUCUCGCUGUCCCUCGGCGGUCCCACCAGUGUGAGCUUCGACAAGGAUCCCAUCGCCAUCGGCGCGUUCAGCGCGAUAUCCAAGGGUAUCAUUGUGGUGUGCGCGGCUGGCAACCAUGGUCCCACUCCACGGUCGGUCAUCAACGACGCACCGUGGUUGCUCACGGUCGCUGCCGGCUCGGUGGAUCGGAGAUUCGACGCUGGUGUUCAUCUCGGCAAUGGGUUGCGCUUAAAUGGAGAAGCGCUUACCCAGGUGAAAAUGCCAACCUCAAAGUCGUAUCCUCUCCUCUACUCCGAGGAAAAUCGUUUCUGCGGGAACCAGGAUCACGUUCCCAUCACCGGGAAAAUCGUGGUAUGCCAAGCCAUGACACCGAUGCCUCAGUAUUCAACCAUUCGCAGCAUAAUGGAUGCUGGAGCGGCCGGCGUGGUACUGUUCAAUGAUGAAGCCGAUGGCUACUCCAUUCUUCUUCAGGAUUACUACUCGAGAGUGGUGCAGGUGGCCACAGCUGAUGGCAUUGCUAUCACAGGUUAUGCGAAGUCGGCAGCGAGCAAAGCCGUGGCCACUUUCACAUACAACAACACAAUGAUUGGUGUUCAUCCAAACCCGAUCGUGGCGUCGUUCUCUUCACGGGGUCCAAGCCCUAUCUCCCCGGGCGUGCUCAAGCCGGACAUUCUGGCUCCCGGGCUCAACAUCCUCGCCGCAUGGCUGCAAGAACCAAAAUCUGCAUCGAGGCCUUUCAAUAUCAUAUCAGGUACAUCCAUGGCAACACCACAUCUCAGCGGUGUCGCGGCGCUCAUCAAAAGCUUGCAUCUCGACUGGUCACCGGCUGCCAUCAAGUCGGCCAUCCUGACAACGUCGGACACCUUCAACAACAUCGGUGGCCCGAUAUUGAAUGAGAGGCAUGGUAAAGCCGGUGCGUACGAUAGAGGCGCCGGCCAUGUGAACCCGGCGAGAGCCGCCGAUCCUGGUCUGGUGUACGAUCUCGGCCUUGACCUGUGA
rnacentral:rRNA from 1 species